UACGGAGGGGACUAGCGUUGUUCGGAAUUACUGGGCGUAAAGCGCACGUAGGCGGAUUUGUAAGUCAGGGGUGAAAUCCUGGAGCUCAACUCCAGAACUGCCUUUGAUACUGAGGAUCUUGAGUUCGGGAGAGGUGAGUGGAACUGCGAGUGUAGAGGUGAAAUUCGUAGAUAUUCGCAAGAACACCAGUGGCGAAGGCGGCUCACUGGCCCGAUACUGACGCUGAGGCACGAAAGCGUGGGGAGCAAACAGG
rnacentral:rRNA from 1 species